UACGUAGGGGGCAAGCGUUGUCCGGAAUUAUUGGGCGUAAAGGGCGCGUAGGCGGCUUUUCAAGUGACGGGUGAAAUCCCUCGGCUUAACCGAGGAACUGCCUGUCAGACUGGAAGGCUUGAGACCGGGAGAGGUGAGUGGAAUUCCCAGUGUAGCGGUGAAAUGCGUAGAUAUUGGGAGGAACACCAGUGGCGAAGGCGGCUCACUGGACCGGAACUGACGCUGAUGCGCGAAAGCGUGGGGAGCAAACAGG
rnacentral:rRNA from 1 species